rnacentral:lncRNA from 1 species
ACUUCCCCCUGGAAGCCUUCCUGGACUACUCCUCUUGCAGGCACCCCUCUGGUCUCAACGCCUUCUGCAGCUCAUCCCGUGUCCUCUGUGCCCAGAUCCAGGCAGCACCGGAGCCCACUGCACUCCUAUGAACGCACACGCCCCUUCACCAGGGUUCUGAACCUGCUCCUUUAAAGUGCUGAUGGUGGUGUGAGCCAGGUGUGGAACCUGCCCUCAUGGAGCAUCUGUCCCAGAGGAGCUCAGGUGUGGGAGCUGGGCUGACCCGGCUGUGUGUUAUCUCUCUCAUUUAAUCAGCACAGUAAUCCCACCACGCACAGUGUAGGACUAUCCAUCCACUUUCCUCACCAGGAAACCAAGGCUCAUUUCCAAAACCACUGAGCUGUGAAGUCUGUGUGCCAUCUUUCUGACUCCCGACACCUAAGCUCUUAUUUCUGGAGCACAGGUUGUUAUUCACCUCAAGCUGCGUCAGAGCCACCUGGGGGCUGUCAUCACCCGGCCACUGCCCAUCCUUAGAGCUUUGGAAUCCACAGGUCUGGGCUGGGCCUGAGAAUCCGCAUCUCUACCCGUUCCCAGGUGAUGCUGACGCUGUGGGCCCAGGGACCCACUUUGGGAACCGCUGUUUUAGAUGAUUCUGAUAACAGUCUGUUAGCGUAGGAGCAUGGAUCAGAUACUGUCUUUUCCACACCUCCCCGUUCCCUCAGGCCCAUUCUACAGCCCAGAAUACAGAGGCACAGAGAAGGCAAGUAACUAGCCCAAGCCACACAGGAAGUUAGGCUCAGAGCUGGGAAGGGAGCCCAGGGCUCCUCACCCCAGCAGUUGGUCUGGAUACAGGACAGUGAGGCUGCUAGGCAAAACCGUACAAGAGCCUCGGGUGAGGAGAAGAGCCAUCUCUUUAAGCGGGGCUGGUGGUGGAGGUGGAGGCGGGGUGCUGGGGGAGGGCUGGCCUGCUCUCCUGGCCCAGCCCCAAACCUGUGACUCCUCGGCAUCUGGAAACCAUCACGAGGAACAAUGGAGGGAGCAGGGGGCCUGGCUGCUCGGGGGCUCCGGCCCCCGACUGUUCAGGAAAGCAAAGGAACCGGGGCCCUGCAGCCAUCUCCGCCCCCACCUCCAUCACCGCUGUUUGCUUUGGCAUUGGCACACACAGCUCCCAAGGGGCCCAGCUGUCAGGAAAAGUCAGCCCCUGAACUAUAGACACGGGGGCUGGUGGCCAGGUUGGGUGCCCAGAAGCCAGGCCAGAAGUCAGAGACUCCGCCCACUCAGCUCCAGCUUUGUGAGCAACACUCCGGUAUUACUGUAGCUCUGGGGGGAUGUGCGGGGGAGGCCUCAGUUUCCCCACAGGAAGUUCAGGUACCACCUGGGCUGGCUGCUUACCAUGUACUGGCAUAGAUGUGACCAGCCUGGUGCCUGGGUCCACUGUUGCCCCCAGGGGCCCGCUUGUCCUCUGCAGGCCAGUGGGGGCCAAGCAGCCAGCCAUGGGAUGGGAAAAGGAUGCGGGACUGCGUACAUUUACCCCGCCUGCCGUCAGCUCACGCCGUCAACAACACGUGCACUGAGCGUCUGCUGUCCACGAGGCACCGGAGCAGAGUGGUUAAGAAGACAGAUGUAACCCCAGACCCCUGAACUUACAGCCAGGUAGGAAGGAAAAAAAACAAGCAUCUCAUUCAAAUAAUCACAGCUGUGAUGACAGCUAUGAAGGAAUGGCAAGCUACGACAGAGGCAACUAACAGAGAGGGAAAUAGCCACUGCGGGGUCUGUGCCAGCCNNNNNNNNNNNNNNNNNNNNNNNNNNNNNNNNNNNNNNNNNNNNNNNNNNNNNNNNNNNNNNNNNNNNNNNNNNNNNNNNNNNNNNNNNNNNNNNNNNNGCAACUAACAGAGAGGGAAAUAGCCACUGCGGGGUCUGUGCCAGCCUCCGGGGUUUUGCAACUUAAACUCAAGGUGGGUGUUUCUUUUCUAAAUUUUCAUACGGUUUUAGAGAUUAUUUUCCAUUUACAGUUAUUACAAAAUAUUGGCUAUAUUCCCUGUGUCGUACAACACAUCCUUGAGCCUGCCAUCCAAUAGUUCAUGCCUCCCACGCCCGCCCCUGUAUUGCCCUCAGCCCCGCCAGUGGUGAGCACUGGUUGUUUCUCC